GAUGAACGCUGGCGGCGUGCUUAACACAUGCAAGUCGAACGAAGCAAUUUUGAAACUUCGGUUUCAAAAUUGACUUAGUGGCGGACGGGUGAGUAACGCGUAGGUAACCUGCCUUAUACAGGGGGAUAACAGCUGGAAACGGCUGCUAAUACCGCAUAACACAGUGAAGUCGCAUGACUUUAUUGCCAAAGAUUUAUCGGUAUAAGAUGGACCUGCGUCUGAUUAGCUAGUUGGUGAGGUAAUGGCUCACCAAGGCGACGAUCAGUAGCCGACUUGAGGGAGGGAUCGGCCACAUUGGGACUGAGACACGGCCCAAACUCCUACGGGAGGCAGCAGUGGGGAAUAUUGCACAAUGGGGGAAACCCUGAUGCAGCGACGCCGCGUGAGUGAUGAAGUAUUUCGGUAUGUAAAGCUCUAUCAGCAGGGACGAAAAAAGACGGUACCUGACUAAGAAGCCCCGGCUAACUACGUGCCAGCCGCCGCCGUAA
rnacentral:rRNA from 1 species